AUUGAACGCUGGCGGCAGGCCUAACACAUGCAAGUCGAACGAGUGGCGGACGGGUGAGUAAUGUCUGGGAAACUGCCCGAUGGAGGGGGAUAACUACUGGAAACGGUAGCUAAUACCGCAUACCAUCGGAUGUGCCCCGAUGGGAUUAGCUUGUAGGUGAGGUAACGGCUAACCUAGGCGACGAUCCCUAGCUGGUCUGAGAGGAUGACCAGCAACAUGGGAACGUAUACACGGUCCAGAUUACGACGUGAGUCAGCAGUGGGGAAUAGUGCACAAUGGGCGAAAGCCGGAUGCAGCCAUGCGGCGGUGAUGAAGAAGGCCGUCGGGUUGUAAAGUACUUUCAGCGGGGAGGCGUUACCCGCAGAAGAAGCACCGGCUAACUCCGUGCCAGCAGCCGCGGUAAUAC
rnacentral:rRNA from 1 species